GGGUUGUGAGGUUAAGCGACUAAGCGUACACGGUGGAUGCCCUGGCAGUCAGAGGCGAUGAAGGGCGUGCUAAUCUGCGAUAAGCGCCGGUAAGGUGAUAUGAACCGUUAUAACCGGCGAUACCCGAAUGGGGAAACCCAGUGUGACUCGUCACACUAUCAUUAACUGAAUCCAUAGGUUAAUGAGGCGAACCGGGGGAACUGAAACAUCUAAGUACCCCGAGGAAAAGAAAUCAACCGAGAUUCCCCCAGUAGCGGCGAGCGAACGGGGAGGAGCCCAGAGCCUGAAUCAGCAUGUGUGUUAGUGGAAGCGUCUGGAAAGGCGCGCGAUACAGGGUGACAGCCCCGUACACAAAAGCGCAUAUGCUGUGAGCUCGAUGAGUAGGGCGGGACACGUGGUAUCCUGUCUGAAUAUGGGGGGACCAUCCUCCAAGGCUAAAUACUCCUGACUGACCGAUAGUGAACCAGUACCGUGAGGGAAAGGCGAAAAGAACCCCGGCGAGGGGAGUGAAAAAGAACCUGAAACCGUGUACGUACAAGCAGUGGGAGCCCCACCACUAAGCCAGUGGUGAACUCCACAUACGCAUCCUUUGCUGAGGAUACGGUUAACGGAGCGAAAGCGACGUUCAACCGCAAAAGAAGCAGAGGGGGCUUAGUGGUGGGGUGACUGCGUACCUUUUGUAUAAUGGGUCAGCGACUUAUAUUCUGUAGCAAGGUUAACCGCAUAGGGGAGCCGGAGGGAAACCGAGUCUUAAC
rnacentral:rRNA from 1 species